GAUGAACGCUAGCGGCAGGCUUAAUACAUGCAAGUCGAGGGGCAGCAGGUCUGUAGCAAUACAGAUGCUGGCGACCGGCAAACGGGUGCGGAACACGUACAGAACCUUCCUUCGAGCGGGGAAUAGCCCAGAGAAAUUUGGAUUAAUACCCCAUAGUACAUUGAAGAGGCAUCUCUUUAAUAUUAAAGAUUUAUCACUUGAAGAUGGCUGUGCGGCNGAUUAGGUAGUUGGCGGGGUAACGGCCCACCAAGCCUACGAUCAGUAACUGGUGUGAGAGCACGACCAGUCACACGGGCACUGAGACACGGGCCCGACUCCUACGGGAGGCAGCAGUAAGGAAUAUUGGUCAAUGGACGCAAGUCUGAACCAGCCAUGCCGCGUGGAGGAUGAAGGUCCUCUGGAUUGUAAACUUCUUUUAUAUGGGACGAAAAGGAUCUUUCUAGAUCACCUGACGGUACCAUAUGAAUAAGCACCGG
rnacentral:rRNA from 1 species